GUUUGCCCACCGGACGGCCCUGCUAGGUGGGAAGCUCCUUGCAGGCAGGAACCCCAUCUCCUUGACUUUACUUUGGAAUCCCCGCAGCCUCAUACGGGGCUGAGGCAGGUCCUUCCGUAAAAUGGAACUGAAUGAGCGGCGCUUAAUCCAUCCGCCAAAGGCCAGUCUCCCUUGGGUUUUCAACAGUGCAAUGAGCUUCAUGCUGAAUACUGAUUUGAAGUGUGGUUCACCACACAGACUUAAAUUGUCCUUCCCACAACUUUAUCUGAGAAGCAUGACAACGGUGACAAUCACAG
rnacentral:lncRNA from 1 species